rnacentral:tmRNA from 1 species
GGGGCUGACCUGGUUUUGACGGCAUGUAAGGUGGUAUGUAAGCAUGCAGCGUGUGGUGGCGCGUCGCUUGAACAGUGUCACGGACCAAUAAACGGCGAAGCUAAUUACGCUCUCGCUGCUUAAACGAACAGAGUAGUUUAAGCUUCAUCCCGGCCAAGGUGCCGGGAGCGAGACGUCUCCCGGGCGGCCUGGCCGCGAGCCAACCCGGUACGGAGGCGCGUGGAAAUCGGGGCUGGCCUGAAGGUUGUUCCGGCCCGAAGGCGAGACAAACAGGAACUAAGGAUUAUCAGGGUUGUCCUGCACCCGGGUAAUCCCGACAAUGGAGCAGGAAUAAGCAUGUAGAAAGCAUAUGGUCUUCAUGACCGGACGCGGGUUCGACUCCCGCCAGCUCCACCA